rnacentral:misc_RNA from 1 species
GGCAUUUUGGAUUGAGGCAUUACUAAUGCUUCCCUUUGCAGUUUUAGGUUUAUUUAUGAAACCAUUGCAAUUAAAAGGAUUCUCUCAUAUCGGAUCAAAAAAACCAUUAACUUCUCCUCUGACUGCUUGCCCAGAAGAAGCUGUUUUGAAUUGUAGCAAUGGUUUGUCAUCAACACGGGAAGAUCCCAAGGAUGGUUCGAAAGGUGCUCCUAGCAAUUUGAAUGAGUUGGCAAGAUUUUGGAAGGAUCUGAAAACGCUUCAUCUUGAAAAGACUUAUGUCAUCAAUGUCCUAGGAUACAUAGCAUAUAAUU